CGGCCGCGCCGCAGAAGGUGAAGGAGCAGCGCGAGGCACGCAGCCGCCGCACCGUGGCGCGCACGAGCUCAGCAGGCCGGCGACCCCAGCGCGCCCACAGGACAGUGGCAGCUGGAAAGUGGGUUCCUGCAUGGUAACAAGACCUUAAACUUGUGUCACUGGAGAAGGACGUGCAGUUCCCGCUGAGGAGAGACUUGGCCACUCCAAGACAACACAGGACUACAAGUCAGGAAUUUGAAAAUGAAAAGUGCUGAACAGUGAUAAAUCCUAAAUGUUUCACUGAACAACCUUUCAGAUAGCCUUCUUGAAGUUUGCUGCAUUAUGGCUAUAAGGACCACUCCCCACCCCUGCUAGAUGAAGUCUCACUUGCCCAGGUUGCAGUGAGCCGAGAUCGCACCACUGCACUCAAGCCUGGGUGACAGAAAAAGACUACAUCUU
rnacentral:lncRNA from 1 species